rnacentral:rRNA from 1 species
GUAACUGCGAGUGAAGCGGGAAAAGCUCAAAUUUAAAAUCUGGUAGUCUUUGGCUGCCCGAGUUGUAAUCUAGAGAAGCGUUAUCCGCGCUGGACCGUGUAUAAGUCUCCUGGAAUGGAGCGUCAUAGAGGGUGAGAAUCCCGUCUUUGACACGGACUCCCAGGGCUUUGUGAUGCGCUCUCAAAGAGUCGAGUUGUUUGGGAAUGCAGCUCUAAAUGGGUGGUAAAUUCCAUCUAAAGCUAAAUAUUGGCGAGAGACCGAUAGCGAACAAGUACCGUGAGGGAAAGAUGAAAAGAACUUUGGAAAGAGAGUUAAACAGUACGUGAAAUUGUUGAAAGGGAAACGCUUGAAGUCAGUCGCGUUGGCUAGGAAUCAGCCUUGCUUUUGCUUGGUGUACUUCCUGGUUGACGGGUCAGCAUCAAUUUUGACCGGUGGAAAAAGAUCAGAGGAAUGUGGCAUCUUCGGAUGUGUUAUAGCUUCUGGUUGUAUACAUCGGUUGGGAUUGAGGAACUCAGCACGCCGCAAGGUCGGGGUUCGCCCACGUUCGUGCUUAGGAUGCUGGCAUAAUGGCUUUAAUCGACCCGUCUUGAAACACGGACCAAGGAGUCUAACAUGCCUGCGAGUGUUUGGGUGGUAAACCCGAGCGCGUAAUGAAAGUGAAAGUUGAGAUCCCUGUCGUGGGGAGCAUCGACGCCCGGACCAGACCUUCUGUGACGGCUCCGCGGUAGAGCAUGUAUGUUGGGACCCGAAAGAUGGUGAACUAUGCCUGAAUAGGGUGAAGCCAGAGGAAACUCUGGUGGAGGCUCGUAGCGAUUCUGACGUGCAAAUCGAUCGUC